AUUUACCACUAUAGCACCCUGAAGGUGCCCAAUCCUGUUUGAUCUUGGAAGUUAGCCAGGUUCAGGUCUGAUUAGUACUUGAAUAGGAGACCAUCUGGCAAUAUCAGGUACUGUAGUUU
rnacentral:rRNA from 1 species